GGUGGCCUAGGUUUAAAGCGUCGGCCUCGAAUGCGGGAGGUCGCGGGUUUGAUCCCCGGACGAGUCA